rnacentral:rRNA from 1 species
UGGGGAAUUUUGGGCAAUGGGGGAAACCCUGACCCAGCAACGCCGCGUGAAGGAUGAAGUAUUUCGGUAUGUAAACUUCGAAAGAAUAGGAAGAAUAAAUGACGGUACUAUUUAUAAGGUCCGGCUAACUACGUGCCAGCAGCCGCGGUAAUACGUAGGGACCAAGCGUUGUUCGGAUUUACUGGGCGUAAAGGGCGCGUAGGCGGCAUGACAAGUCACUUGUGAAAUCUCUGGGCUUAACCCAGAACGGCCAAGUGAUACUGUCGCGCUAGAGUGCAGAAGGGGCAAUCGGAAUUCUUGGUGUAGCGGUGAAAUGCGUAGAUAUCAAGAGGAACACCUGAGGUGAAGACGGGUUGCUGGGCUGACACUGACGCUGAGGCGCGAAAGCCAGGGGAGCAAACGGGAUUAGAUACCCUGGUAGUCCCUGAGCGGGCUGGCAAGGCGCAU